CACGGGGGGAGCAAGCGUUGUUCGGAAUCACUGGGCGUAAAGGGCGUGUAGGCGGUCAAGUAAGUGGAAUGUGUAAUCCCUCGGCUUACCCGAGGACCUGCAUCCCAAACUGCUUGGCUUGAGUAUGGGAGAGGAUGAGGGAAUUCCUGGUGUAGCGGUGAAAUGCGUAGAUAUCAGGAGGAACACCGGUGGCGAAAGCGCUCAUCUGGCCCAAUACUGACGCUGAGGCGCGAAAGCUAGGGGAGCAAACGGG
rnacentral:rRNA from 1 species